UGGGGAAUAUUGGACAAUGGGCGCAAGCCUGAUCCAGCCAUGCCGCGUGUGUGAUGAAGGCCCUAGGGUUGUAAAGCUCUUUCACCGGUGAAGAUAAUGACGGUAACCGGAGAAGAAGCCCCGGCUAACUUCGUGCCAGCAGCCGCGGUAAUACGAAGGGGGCUAGCGUUGUUCGGAUUUACUGGGCGUAAAGCGCACGUAGGCGGACUAUUAAGUCAGGGGUGAAAUCCCGGGGCUCAACCCCGGAACUGCCUUUGAUACUGGUAGUCUUGAGUUCGAGAGAGGUGGGUGGAAUUCCGAGUGUAGAGGUGAAAUUCGUAGAUAUUCGGAGGAACACCAGUGGCGAAGGCGGCUCACUGGCUCGAUACUGACGCUGAGGUGCGAAAGCGUGGGGAGCAAACAGG
rnacentral:rRNA from 1 species